UACGUGAGGGUGCGAGCGUUGUCCGGAAUUAUUGGGCGUAAAGAGCUUGUAGGCGGUUUGUCGCGUCUGCUGUGAAAUCUCAAGGCUCAACCUUGAGCUUGCAGUGGGGUACGGGCAGACUAGAGUGUGGUAGGGGGAGACUGGAAUUCCUGGUGUAGCGGUGAAAUGCGCAGAUAUCCGGAGGAACACCAGCGGCGAAGGCGGCUUUCUGGUCCGAUUCUGACGCUGAGGCGGCGAAAGCGU
rnacentral:rRNA from 1 species